rnacentral:rRNA from 1 species
CGGAUACUGACCCGCCUGGGCAUCCAGGCGGUUCGAAAGCUCCGGCGGUGCAGGAUGAGCCCGCGGCCUAUCAGCUUGUUGGUGAGGUAAUGGCUCACCAAGGCGACGACGGGUAGCCGGCCUGAGAGGGCGACCGGCCACACUGGGACUGAGACACGGCCCAGACUCCUACGGGAGGCAGCAGUGGGGAAUAUUGCACAAUGGGCGAAAGCCUGAUGCAGCGACGCCGCGUGAGGGAUGACGGCCUUCGGGUUGUAAACCUCUUUCAGCAGGGAAGAAGCGAAAGUGACGGUACCUGCAGAAGAAGCGCCGGCUAACUACGUGCCAGCAGCCGCGGUAAUACGUAGGGCGCGAGCGUUGUCCGGAAUUAUUGGGCGUAAAGAGCUCGUAGGCGGCUUGUCACGUCGGUUGUGAAAGCCCGGGGCUUAACCCCGGGUCUGCAGUCGAUACGGGCAGGCUAGAGUUCGGUAGGGGAGAUCGGAAUUCCUGGUGUAGCGGUGAAAUGCGCAGAUAUCAGGAGGAACACCGGUGGCGAAGGCGGAUCUCUGGGCCGAUACUGACGCUGAGGAGCGAAAGCGUGGGGAGCGAACAGGAUUAGAUACCCUGGUAGUCCACGCCGUAACGGUGGGCACUAGUGUGGGCGACAUUCCACGUCGUCCGUGCCGCAGCUAACGCAUUAAGUGCCCCGCCUGGGGAGUACGGCCGCAAGGCUAAAACUCAAAGGAAUUGACGGGCGGCCCGCACAAGCGGCGGAGCAUGUGGCUUAAUUC